GGGCUCAUUUUGGCAGCACAUAUACUAAAAUUGGAACGACACAGACAAGAUUAGCAUGGCUCCUGCGCAAGGAUGACACACAAAUUCAUGAAGUGUUCCGUAUUUUU
rnacentral:snRNA from 1 species